AUUGAACGCUGGCGGCAGGCCUAACACAUGCAAGUCGAACGGUAGCACAGAGAGCUUGCUCUCGGGUGACGAGUGGCGGACGGGUGAGUAAUGUCUGGGAAACUGCCCGAUGGAGGGGGAUAACUACUGGAAACGGUAGCUAAUACCGCAUAACGUCGCAAGACCAAAGAGGGGGACCUUCGGGCCUCUUGCCAUCGGAUGUGCCCAGAUGGGAUUAGCUUGUAGGUGAGGUAACGGCUCACCUAGGCGACGAUCCCUAGCUGGUCUGAGAGAAUGACCAGCCACACUGGAACUGAGACACGGUCCAGACUCCUACGGGAGGCAGCAGUGGGGAAUAUUGCACAAUGGGCGCAAGCCUGAUGCAGCCAUGCCGCGUGUAUGAAGAAGGCCUUCGGGUUGUAAAGUACUUUCAGCGGGGAGGAAGGGAGUGAGGUUAAUAACCUCAUUCAUUGACGUUACCCGCAGAAGAAGCACCGGCUAACUCCGUGCCAGCAGCCGCGGUAAUACGGAGGGUGCGAGCGUUAAUCGGAAUUACUGGGCGUAAAGCGCACGCAGGCGGUCUGUCAAGUCGGAUGUGAAAUCCCCGGGCUCAACCUGGGAACUGCAUUCGAAACUGGCAGGCUGGAGUCUUGUAGAGGGGGGUAGAAUUCCAGGUGUAGCGGUGAAAUGCGUAGAGAUCUGGAGGAAUACCGGUGGCGAAGGCGGCCCCCUGGACAAAGACUGACGCUCAGGUGCGAAAGCGUGGGGAGCAAACAGGAUUAGAUACCCUGGUAGUCCACGCUGUAAACGAUGUCGACUUGGAGGUUGUUCCCUUGAGGAGUGGCUUCCGGAGCUAACGCGUUAAGUCGACCGCCUGGGGAGUACGGCCGCAAGGUUAAAACUCAAAUGAAUUGACGGGGGCCCGCACAAGCGGUGGAGCAUGUGGUUUAAUUCGAUGCAACGCGAAGAACCUUACCUACUCUUGACAUCCAGAGAACUUAGCAGAGAUGCUUUGGUGCCUUCGGGAACUCUGAGACAGGUGCUGCAUGGCUGUCGUCAGCUCGUGUUGUGAAAUGUUGGGUUAAGCCCCGCAACGAGCGCAACCCUUAUCCUUUGUUGCCAGCGAUUCGGUCGGGAACUCAAAGGAGACUGCCAGUGAUAAACUGGAGGAAGGUGGGGAUGAUGUCAAGUCAUCAUGGCCCUUACGAGUAGGGCUACACACGUGCUACAAUGGCAUAUACAAAGAGAAGCGACCUCGCGAGAGCAAGCGGACCUCAUAAAGUAUGUCGUAGUCCGGAUUGGAGUCUGCAACUCGACUCCAUGAAGUCGGAAUCGCUAGUAAUCGUGGAUCAGAAUGCCACGGUGAAUACGUUCCCGGGCCU
rnacentral:rRNA from 1 species